rnacentral:rRNA from 1 species
GACGAACGCUGGCGGCGUGCCUAAUACAUGCAAGUCGAGCGGACUUAAAAAGCUUGCUUUUUUAGUUAGCGGCGGACGGGUGAGUAACACGCGGGCAACCUGCCUGUCUGGCUGGGAUAACUUCGUGAAACCGGAGCUAAUACCGGAUAAUCCUUUUCUACUCAUGUAGAAAACCUGAAAGACGGUCUACGCUGUCACUUACAGAUGGGCCCGCGGCGCAUUAGCUAGUUGGUGAGGUAACGGCUCACCAAGGCGACGAUGCGUAGCCGACCUGAGAGGGUGAUCGGCCACACUGGAACUGAGACACGGCCCAGACUCCUACGGGAGGCAGCAGUAGGGAAUCUUCCGCAAUGGACGAAAGUCUGACGGAGCAACGCCGCGUGAGUGAUGAAGGUUUUCGGAUCGUAAAACUCUGUUGUUAGGGAAGAACAAGUGCGAGAGUAACUGCUCGUACCUUGACGGUACCUAACCAGAAAGCCACGGCUAACUACGUG